AUACAGAGGGUGCGAGCGUUAAUCGGAAUUACAGGGCGUAAAGCGCGCGUAGGCGGUCUAUUAAGUCAGAUGUGAAAUCCCAGGGCUCAACCUUGGAACUGCAUCUGAUACUGGUAGACUAGAGUUUUGGAGAGGGAAGUAGAAUUUCAGGUGUAGCGGUGAAAUGCAUAGAGAUCUGAAGGAAUACCAGUGGCGAAGGCGACUUCCUGGCCAAAAACUGACGCUGAGGUGCGAAAGCGUGGGUAGCAAACGGGAUUAGAAACCCGUGUAGUCC
rnacentral:rRNA from 1 species